AUUUCCUGCCUGAAUUUGCUCUUGUUUUUCUCCUUACUCCAGUUCUCCUUGUGCAAUGCUGCGUGGCGCUGGCAGACUGAGAGAGAGGGAGCUCCAGUCACACACAUACACACAGACCACGGAGAGGAGAUUAACAUCAAGGAGACCACGUUUGCUAUAGAAGGGAGGUGGGAUUGGCCGGGGUGGGGGGGAAAUAAAGGCAACAAUCGGAUAAAUGCUCAUCUGUCCUCCUCGUCACCAGCACCUUGCUCAGUGAAUUGGAAGAUGGAGAUGGAUGUUAAGGGAGUUUCUCAGUGCCCAGAGCCCAUCCCCCACUCGCAGGGGUCUGGAGGCUGUCAGCAGCAGCAACAGCAGGAUGGGCAGGCAGGGGAAAGUGCAACUGCUAGUGACAGUAAUAAUCCAGAGAAGAGGCAAAACAGUGAGAAAGAAGACAAAAAGGGAACUGCAUUGAAAUCUUCUGGAUUUCAUUGA
rnacentral:lncRNA from 1 species